rnacentral:rRNA from 1 species
GGAGCAUGUGGCUUAAUUUGACUCAACGCGGGAAAUCUUACCGGGUCCGGACACACUGAGGAUUGACAGGCAAUAUUAAUUUCGCUCCGGCGAUUUUAUGUUAAAUAUGCUAGUCCUUUCAUGAUUAUGUGAUAGGUGGUGCAUGGCCGUUCUUAGUUCGUGGAGUGAUCUGUCUGCUUAAUUGCGUUUCACUAAGGGCCUAUAAUUUAACGUGUGUUGCGGCACUUUGACCCCUCUUCGCGGAGCGUGCGUCUUAGCUUGUUUAGCUCACACAAUUAGGUCCUGAAAGCAACGAACGUGACCGCAACCUCUUGUUGCCUUUAUACCAAACACAGUCUGACCUUUUCUGACGAAGGGCUGCCGUGAAAAAAGGCUUUUUAAACUAGAGGGACCGCUGUUACUUUCUUAAACCAGAGGAAGGUUGCGGCAAUAACAGGUCUGU